rnacentral:rRNA from 1 species
AGGACGAACGCUGGCGGCGCGCUUAACACAUGCAAGUCGAGCGAGAACCAGGGCUUCGGCUCUGGGGACAGCGGCGAACGGGUGAGUAACACGUGGGUAAUCAACCCUCGACAUCGGGAUAGCCCGGGGAAAACCCGGAUUAAUACCGAAUGCUCCGUCUGGCCUUCGGGCCGGCCGGAAAAGGUAGCUUCGGCCUCCGGUCGGGGACGAGCCCGCGGCGGAUUAGCUAGUUGGUGGGGUAAUGGCCUACCAAGGCGACGAUCGAUAGCUGGUCUGAGAGGACGGUCAGCCACACGGGGACUGAGAUACGGCCCCGACUCCUACGGGAGGCAGCAGCUAGGAAUCUUGGGAAUGGGCGAAAGCCUGACCCAGCAACGCCGCGUGGGCGAUGAAGGCCUUCGGGUCGUAAAGCCCUUUUGGUAGGGGAAGAUUAUGACGGUACCCUGCGAAUAAGCCACGGCUAACUACGCGCCAGCAGCCGC